rnacentral:tRNA from 1 species
UGGAGUCUAGCCAAGCUGG